CGGUAUGAGUAGCGCAAGACGGGUGAGAAUCCCGUCCACCGAAUAACUAAGGUUUCCUGGGGAAGGCUCGUCCUCCCAGGGUUAGUCGGGACCUAAGCUGAGGCCGAUAGGCGUAGGCGAUGGACAACAGGUUGAUAUUCCUGUACCAGUUGCUUUUGUUUGAGCGAUGGAGGGACGCAGGAGGCUAAGGAAUGCACACGAUCGGAAAUGUGUGUCCAAGCAGCAAGUCUGAGAACAAGUGAAAUGCUUUUUCUCUCAAGGACAAGCUGUGAUGGGGAGCGAAAUUUAGUAGCGAAGUUCCUGAUGUCACACUGCCAAGAAAAGCUUCUAGUGAGAAAGUAACUGCCCGUACCGCAAACCGACACAGGUAGUUGAGGAGAGAAUCCUAAGGUGUGCGAGAGAACUCUCGUUAAGGAACUCGGCAAAAUGACCCCGUAACUUCGGGAGAAGGGGUGCUGACCGCAAGGUCAGCCGCAGUGAAUAGGCCCAAGCGACUGUUUAUCAAAAACACAGGUCUCUGCAAAAUCGAAAGAUGACGUAUAGGGGCUGACGCCUGCCCGGUGCUGGAAGGUUAAGAGGAGAGGUUAGCGCAAGCGAAGCUUUGAAUUGAAGCCCCAGUAAACGGCGGCCGUAACAAUAACGGUCCUAAGGUAGCGAAAUUCCUUGUCGGGUAAGUUCCGACCCGCACGAAAGGCGUAACGAUUUGGGCACUGUCUCAACGAGAGACUCGGUGAAAUUAUAGUACCAGUGAAGAUGCUGGUUACCCGCGACAGGACGGAAAGACCCCAUGGAGCUUUACUGCAGUUUGAUAUUGCGUGUUUGUAUCACAUGUACAGGAUAGGUAGGAGCCGAAGAUACCGGGACGCCAGUCUCGGAGGAGGCAACGGUGGGAUACUACCCUUGUGAUAUGACCACUCUAACCCGCUGCUCUUAGCGAGCAGGGAGACAGUGUCAGACGGGCAGUUUGACUGGGGCGGUCGCCUCCAAAAAUGUAACGGAGGCGCCCAAAGGUUCCCUCAGAAUGGUUGGAAAUCAUUCGUAGAGUGUAAAGGCAGAAGGGAGCUUGACUGCGAGACCUACAAGUCGAGCAGGGACGAGAGUCGGGCUUAGUGAUCCGGUGGUUCCGCAUGGAAGGGCCAUCGCUCAACGGAUAAAAGCUACCCUGGGGAUAACAGGCUUAUCUCCCCCAAGAGUUCACAUCGACGGGGAGGUUUGGCACCUCGAUGUCGGCUCAUCGCAUCCUGGGGCUGUAGUCGGUCCCAAGGGUUGGGCUGUUCGCCCAUUAAAGCGGUACGCGAGCUGGGUUCAGAACGUCGUGAGACAGUUCGGUCCCUAUCCGUCGCGGGCGUUGGAAAUUUGAGAGGAGCUGUCCUUAGUACGAGAGGACCGGGAUGGACACACCGCUGGUGUACCAGUUGUUCUGCCAAGAGCAUCGCUGGGUAGCUAUGUGUGGACGGGAUAAACGCUGAAAGCAUCUAAGCGUGAAGCCCCCCUCAAGAUGAGAUUUCCCAUCACUUUAAGUGAGUAAGACCCCUGAGAGAUGAUCAGGUAGAUAGGUUGG
rnacentral:rRNA from 1 species